rnacentral:tRNA from 2 species
GCGGAUGUAGCCAAGUGGAUGAAGGCAGUGGAUUGUGAAUCUACCAUGCGCGGGUUCAAUUCUCGUCAUUCGCC